rnacentral:tRNA from 1 species
UGGCGGGUAGCUCAAAUGGUAGAGCGCCAAUUUUGCCUGAAAAGGACGCAGAAUUGAGGGUUAUCGCUGAAAAUCGAAUACCUUAAUUCGCCGGAGAUGCGGGUUCAAUUCUCGCUCUGCUAC